AAUUCCAUGACCAUAUUUGCAUUAUAAUUCACCAUUGUUGCUCAGCAAUCUCAUAUUUUCUCUUGCUGGGUUGUCCUUUUUUCUUACUCAUAUUGCUAGAGUUUUAUUCUGUGUCUCUUAUUUUUCCUCAAUGGGUUGUUAUUGUUUCUGUUCUUUUGAGUGAAACCCAAGUUAAAUUUUCCCUACAACUUACCACCGAGACUCUCUUUAUCUUUUUUUUUUU
rnacentral:misc_RNA from 1 species